ACGCUGGCGGCGUGCCUAAUACAUGCAAGUAGAACGCUGAAGACUUUAGCUUGCUAAAGUUGGAAGAGUUGCGAACGGGUGAGUAACGCGUAGGUAACCUGCCUACUAGCGGGGGAUAACUAUUGGAAACGAUAGCUAAUACCGCAUAACAGCAUUUAACCCAUGUUAGAUGCUUGAAAGGAGCAAUUGCUUCACUAGUAGAUGGACCUGCGUUGUAUUAGCUAGUUGGUGAGGUAACGGCUCACCAAGGCGACGAUACAUAGCCGACCUGAGAGGGUGAUCGGCCACACUGGGACUGAGACACGGCCCAGACUCCUACGGGAGGCAGCAGUAGGGAAUCUUCGGCAAUGGGGGCAACCCUGACCGAGCAACGCCGCGUGAGUGAAGAAGGUUUUC
rnacentral:rRNA from 1 species